rnacentral:siRNA from 1 species
ACAGUCCGCAGAUGGUCCGAUGC